rnacentral:rRNA from 1 species
UACGGAGGGUGCAAGCGUUAUCCGGAUUCACUGGGUUUAAAGGGUGCGUAGGCGGGCAGGUAAGUCAGUGGUGAAAUCCCCGAGCUUAACUUGGGAACUGCCGUGGAUACUAUCAAUCUUGAAUACUGUGGAGGUAAGCGGAAUAUGUCAUGUAGCGGUGAAAUGCUUAGAUAUGACAUAGAACACCGAUAGCGAAGGCAGCUUGCUACACAGUUAUUGACACUGAGGCACGAAAGCGUGGGGAGCAAACAGG